UACAGAGACUGCAAGCGUUAUUCGGAAUUAUUGGGCGUAAAGGGCGCGUAGGCGGCUUGGCAAGUGGAUGGUGAAAUCCCUCGGCUUAACCGAGGAACUGCCAUCCAGACUGCUUUGCUUGAGGCCGGGAGAGGUGAGUGGAAUUCCCAGUGUAGCGGUGAAAUGCGUAGAUAUUGGGAGGAACACCAGUGGCGAAGGCGGCUCACUGGACCGGUUCUGACGCUGAUGCGCGAAAGCGUGGGGAGCAAACGGG
rnacentral:rRNA from 1 species